AGGGUCGCCAGAUCCGCAAAAGCCCUCUUACCCGGGUAGGUCGCCAGAUCCGCAAAAGCCCUCUUACCCGGGUAGGUCGCCAGAUCCGCAAAAGCCCUCUUACCCGGGUAGGUCGCCAGAUCCGCAAAAGCCCUCUUACCCGGGUAGGUCGCCAGAUCCGCAAAAGCCCUCUUACCCGGGUAGGUCGCCAGAUCCGCAAAAGCCCUCUUACCCGGGUAGGGCGGCCAGAUCCGCAAAAGCCCUCUUACCCGGGUAGGUCGCCAGAUCCGCAAAAGCCCUCUUACCCGGGUAGGUCGCCAGAUCCGCAAAAGCCCUCUUACCCGGGUAGGUCGCCAGAUCCGCAAAAGCCCUCUUACCCGGCCGGGUAGGUCGCCAGAUCCGCAAAAGCCCUCUUACCCGGAUCUGGCGGCCAGAUCCGCAAAAGCCCUCUUACCCGGGUAGGUCGCCAGAUCCGCAAAAGCCCUCUUACCCGGGAAGGUCGCCAGAUCCGCAAAAGCCCUCUUACCCGGGUAGGUCGCCAGAUCCGCAAAAGCCCUCUUACCCGGGUAGGUCGCCAGAUCCGCAAAAGCCCUCUUACCCGGGUCUGGCGCCAGAUCCGCAAAAGCCCUCUUACCCGGGUAGGUCGCCAGAUCCGCAAAAGCCCCCUUACCCGGGUAGGUCGCCAGAUCCGCAAAAGCCCUCUUACCCGGGUAGGUCGCCAGAUCCGCAAAAGCCCUCUUACCCGGGUAGGUCGCCAGAUCCGCAAAAGCCCUCUUACCCGGGUAGGUCGCCAGAUCCGCAAAAGCCCUCUUACCCGGUGUAGGUCGCCAGAUCCGCAAAAGCCCACUUACCCGGGUACGUCGCCAGAUCCGCAAACGCCCUCUUACCCGGGCAGGUCGCCAGAUCCGCCAAAGCCCUCUUACCUGGGUAAGUCGGUCGCCAGAUCAGCCAAAGCCCUCUUACCCGGGUAGGUCGCCAGAUCCGCAAAAGCCCUCUUACCCGGGUAGG